CACGUAUGGGGCAAGCGUUGUUCGGAAUCACUGGGCGUAAAGGGCGUGUAGGCGGUUCGAAAAGCCCGGCGUGAAAGGUGUCGGCCUAACCGACAGACUGCGUUGGGAACUGCCGGACUGGAGUCAUGGAGGGGGAGCUGGAAUUCCAGGUGUAGGGGUGAAAUCUGUAGAGAUCUGGAAGAACACCGGUGGCGAAGGCGAGCUUCUGGCCAAUGACUGACGCUGAGGCGCGAAAGCGUGGGGAGCAAACAGG
rnacentral:rRNA from 1 species